rnacentral:rRNA from 1 species
UACGUAGGGACCAAGCGUUGUCCGGAAUCAUUGGGCGUAAAGAGCGUGUAGGCGGCCUGUUAAGUCUUGCGUGAAAUCUCGGGGCUCAACCCCGAGCGGUCGUGAGAAACUGGCAGGCUAGAGUGCGGGAGAGGAGAGUGGAAUUCCUGGUGUAGCGGUGAAAUGCGCAGAUAUCAGGAAGAACACCCGUGGCGAAGGCGGCUCUCUGGGACGGUACUGACGCUGAGGUGCGAAAGCGUGGGGAGCAAACAGG